GACGGAGGAGGCAAGCGUUAUCCGGAAUUAUUGGGCGUAAAGCGUCCGCAGGUGGCGAUUCAAGUCUGCUGUCAAAGGUCGGGGCUUAACCCCGGGAAGGCAGUGGAAACUGAAUAGCUAGAGUGCGGUAGGGGCAGAGGGAAUUCCCGGUGUAGCGGUGAAAUGCGUGGAGAUCGGGAAGAACACCAGUGGCGAAAGCGCUCUGCUGGGCCUGCACUGACACUGAGGGACGAAAGCGUGGGGAGCAAACAGG
rnacentral:rRNA from 1 species